rnacentral:rRNA from 1 species
GACGAACGCUGGCGGCGUGCUUAACACAUGCAAGUCGAACGGAAAGGCCCUGCUUUUGUGGGGUGCUCGAGUGGCGAACGGGUGAGUAACACGUGAGUAACCUCCCCUUGACUUUGGGAUAACUUCAGGAAACUGGGGCUAAUACCGGAUAGGAGCUCCUGCUGCAUGGUGGGGGUUGGAAAGUUUCGGCGGUUGGGGCUGGGCUCGCGGCUUAUCAGCUUGUUGGUGGGGUAGUGGCUUACCAAGGCUUUGACGGAUAGCCGGCCUGGGAGGGUGACCGGCGACAUUGGGACUGAGAGACGGCCCAGACGGCUACGGGAGGCAGCAGUGGGGAAUAUUGCGCAAUGGGCGGAAGCGUGAGGCAGCAACGCCGCGUGCGGGAUGACGGCCUUCGGGUGGUAAACCGCUGUCGCCUGUGACGAAGCGUGAGUGACGGUAAUGGGUAAAGAAGCACCGGCUAACUACGUG